GCCCUCGUAGCUCAACGGAUAGAGCGUAGGCCUCCGGAGCCUAAGACAGGGGUUCAAUUCCUCUCGAGGGCACCA
rnacentral:tRNA from 1 species